CAAACUUCCAAACUUCCUAUCCUGCAGGGAGAUGUAUACAGCAGAGUGUAGAAGCCUAAUUUAACAGGUGUGUGACUGGCCAAAUUUAAGACCAUCAAAAUUUGUCAUAUUUUGUUUCAGACAUUUUGACAUCAGUCAAAGGGAAUGAAAAUAAUUUCUCAAGCAGGGCAACAUCAACAUACUGAGGCGAGAGUGUCACCAAAUAAAAAUACCCUGGAAUAUUGAGCCGCUAUUGAAAAUGGCUACCUUGAAAUUUACCAAAACCUGCUGAAGAUUUUAUACAAGAAAUAAAACAUUAUAUUAAACUGUGGAAGCUGAGAGUGUUUAUCAUUGCAGUAUCUAACAUACUGACUUUUACGGGGGUUUUAACCACUAUCACUGACUCAAUUAUCUUACUUUAG
rnacentral:lncRNA from 1 species